rnacentral:rRNA from 1 species
UACGUAGGGGGCAAGCGUUGGUCCGGAUUUAUUGGGCGUAAAGAGCAGUGUAGGCGGCCAGGUAGGUGGGUUGUGGAAAACUGGAGGCUCAACCUUCAGACGUCGACCCAAACCCCCUGGCCUAGCAGUCCGGAAGAGGAGAGUGGAAUUCCUGGUGUAGCGGUGAAAUGCGCAGGAUAAUCAGGAAGAACACCCGUGGCGAAGGCGGCUCCUCUGGGACGGUACUGACGCUGAGACGCGAAAGCGUGGGGAGCGAACAGG